ensembl:misc_RNA Metazoa_SRP Metazoan signal recognition particle RNA
GCUGGGCGUGGUGGCACAUGCCUGUAGUCCCAGCUACUUGGGAGGCUGGGACAGGAGACUUGUUUGAGUCCAGGAGUUCGAGGCUGCAGUGAGCUGUGAUUGCACCACUGCACUCCAGCCUGGGCAACAGAGUGAAACCUUGUCUCUA